rnacentral:rRNA from 1 species
UACAGAGGGUGCGAGCGUUACUCGGAAUUACUGGGCGUAAAGCGCGCGUAGGCGGCUUUGCAAGUCGGGUGUGAAAUCCCCAGGCUUAACCUGGGAACUGCAUUCGAGACUGCAUUGCUAGAGUAUGGGAGAGGGAAGUGGAAUUUCCGGUGUAGCGGUGAAAUGCGUAGAUAUCGGAAGGAACAUCGGUGGCGAAAGCGACAUCCUGGACCGAUAUUGACGCUGAUGAGCGAAAGCGAGGGGAGCAAACAGG